AGUGCACUGGCAAGGGCUUGACUCGUGUCAUCACCCAAGGUGAUGUUUAUACAGUACGUUCCAGGUUCAUCAAAAGCUCUCCUAAUGGUAACAACAAAGUCCACCAGUGGAUUUUCAGCUUGACUUUCUGUCAUCUGGAUGCUUGUCAUCUGAAUAAUAUUUACCUCAAGGAUUCCCUCUGGGAGAGGAAACAGAUGUCAACAGUAGGACACAUGACGACCUUGUGUGUACAGAACCUCAAGUGUUUGGCUGAUACUCAGGUGUCAGAAAGAUGUCCCACAAUUCACUGAUUUAAAGAAGAGCAUUUGCGAAGGCAUUUACAUCUUUGCAAAGAAAUUACAUUAUGUUGAGUUAUUAGGAUUAUGUAGUGGAUGGCGUUACCUUUUAGGCAUUUUAAGUUUACCUUCAGCGUAGCAAGAAGAUAUAAUGCUUCAUACCCCAUAGCCCUUUGUAUACAUUUGUUUAUUUGUCUUCCAGCUGAUUGAGGUAGGUAAAUAAUAUUACCUUUAUGUUAAAUUAGGGACAAUAUUAUUAUUAUUCAUGCUGAUGUUGAUGAUAAUACUGAUUUUCUCAAGCUAAAUUAGGAUUCUAAGAUUUAGUACGUACCCUGUGCCAGAAAUAGCCCAACCAUUACAUACUCACAGCUGGAAAUACUGAAAAUCAGCAUUUGUGAAUAGAAAUAGUACUGCAUAGUCAAUGACAGUUUUCACCUUCUCCCCAGAGUUAAGAAUUGCUGUACCAUUAAACUGAUGUGAACAUGUGCAGCUUUGUGCUCUCAAUAAAAUCUGAGAAUCUGAAGUGGCAGUGACUGGCCAGCAAAUCAUCUGACUGACCUCAGACCCUAUGUUUUCCUAGAAAAUUAUAUUGAGUACCACUGAAAGGAAAUUAAUUUUCUUCAGUGGUAGUUCUUUUUAAGUCUGUGAAUGCAGACUUAAAAAAGAUCUCCUGAUAAUACACAAUUUCCAAACCUAGCAGAAGAUUAAUAGAACAACUGGUGGCCUCUUUGAAAAAUGGGCAACGAAUUCGGGGUCCCCAUUCAGGAAGUGUGGAAUCCUUUUUAAGGACUUUUAAUGAAAGAUACUAGAAAAAAUGAGUGAAUGUAAGCUUUGCAGCGUCAACCAAACUGGGGUACAUUGCAG